CAAGAGCGUAUGUAAAAGUUGUUGCAGUUAAAAAGCUCGUAGUUGAACCUUGGGUUUGGUUGGCCGGUCCGCUUUUGUGCGAGUACUGGAUUCAACCGAGCCUUUCCUUCUGGCUAACCAGUCGUUUCGGCGGCUGGCGAACCAGGAUUUUUACUUUGAGAAAAUUAGAGUGUUCAAAGCAGGCAUUAGCUUGAAUAUAUUAGCAUGGAAUAAUAGAAUAGGACGUUAUGGUUCUAUUUUGUUGGUUUCUAGGACCAUCGUAAUGAUUAAUAGGGACGGUCGGGGGCAUCAGUAUUCAGUUGUCAGAGGUGAAAUUCUUGGAUUUACUGAAGACUAACUACUGCGAAAGCAUUUGCCAAGGACGUUUUCAUUAA
rnacentral:rRNA from 1 species